rnacentral:rRNA from 1 species
UAGCAUAUGCUUGUCUUAAAGACUAAGCCAUGCAUGUCUAAGUAUAAAUCUUUAUACGGUGAAACUGCGAAUGGCUCAUUAAAUCAGUUAUAGUUUAUUUGAUAAUCCCUACUACUUGGAUAACUGUAGUAAUUCUAGAGCUAAUACAUGCUAAAACACCCGACUUCGGAAAGGUGGCAUUUAUUAGAUAAAAAACCAAUGCGGGGUUUUCCCCGGACCAUUGAUGAUUCAUAAUAACUGAGCGAAUCGCAUGGCCUAGCGCCGGCGAUGAUUCAUU